rnacentral:rRNA from 1 species
CAUGACCUUAGAUCAGAUAUGGCAACCCAUUGAGUUUAUGCAUAUCAAUAAGCGGAGGA